rnacentral:rRNA from 1 species
CUACGGGGCGCUGCAGUGAGGAAUAUUGCACAAUGGGGGAAACCCUGAUGCAGCAACGCCGCGUGGAGGAUGACGCAUUUCGGUGUGUAAACUCCUUUUAUCAGAGAAGAAAAUGACGGUAUCUGAUGAAUAAGCUCCGGCUAACUCCGUGCCAGUAGCCGCGGUAAUACGGAGGGAGCAAGCGUUAUUCGGAAUCACUGGGCGUAAAGGACGCGUAGGCGGGUUUUUAAGUCAGGUGUGAAAUCCUAUGGCUCAACCAUAGAACUGCACUUGAAACUGGGGACCUAGAGUAUGGAAGGGGCAGGUGGAAUUAGUGGUGUAGGGGUAAAAUCCGUAGAUAUCACUAGGAAUACCGAAAGCGAAGGCGACCUGCUGGGACAUUACUGACGCUGAGGCGUGAAAGCGUGGGGAGCAAACAGGAUUAGAUACCCGCGUAGUC